rnacentral:misc_RNA from 1 species
AACGCACAUUGCGCCCAUUAGUAUUCUAGUGGGCAUGCCUGUUCGAGCGUCAUUACAACCCUUACGCCCUGGUUGCGUAGUGUUGGGACCUUACCGCCCCCCCCGGCGGUAACUCCCUAAAGUCAGUUGGCAGAGUCACGGCGUGCUCUAAGCGUAGUAAUCAUCUUCUCGCUUCUGAAGCCGUCGCGGCGAUCGCCAGAAAACCCCUAUAUUUUCUAGUGGUUGACCUCGGAUCAGGUAGGAAUACCCGCUGAACUUAA